GAUGAAGAACGUAGCGAAAUGCGAUAAGUAAUGUGAAUUGCAGAAUUCAGUGAAUCAUCGAAUCUUUGAACGCACAUUGCGCCCUCUGGUAUUCCGGGGGGCAUGCCUGUUCGAGCGUCAUUAUAACCACUCAAGCUCUCGCUUGGUAUUGGGGUUCGCGGUUUCGCGGCCCCUAAAAUCAGUGGCGGUGCCUGUCGGCUCUACGCGUAGUAAUACUUCUCGCGAUUGAGUUCGAUAGGUCUACUUGCCAGUAACCCCCAAUUUUUAAAGGUUGACCUCGGAUCAGGUAGGGAUACCCGCUGAACUUAAGCAUAUCAAUAAGCGGAGGA
rnacentral:misc_RNA from 1 species